UUGCACAAUAGUUGUUUGGACUAUAAUUUAUGUAAGAUAACAUCAAUUGUGUGCCAACGUGUCCGUGGUCGAGUGCCAGCUCUCCACGUGUGAAAGUCCCUUAACGUCUGAUCAGCAGGUUGUCUGAGCAGCCCCCGCUAGUACUUGAAGCACCACGUGCUACAUCAGAGGGGCCAGGAAGGAAAUUCACAUCUUGAAUUCCAUUCCACUCAAUCACAUCAACCUGUAAAUUCAGAGGAAGGAAAAAAAGGAAAGCAAACAUUCUUUUCAAAAGGACUUUUGAAAAAGGGGUGUUGUCUCCAGUGGUUCGAGGGGCAUUGGCUCCUGCUUUCCUCUCCAGCGGCAGGUGUGGACAACAGGGUGCAUUCUGAGCACAGAGGCUGAGCCAGCCUGACGUUCCCUACAGGCAGCCAGCGGGAGGGCCACGUGCUUUUCCUGUCGAAGCCCCACUCCCCCUGUGCUGGCUGGUGAUAGAGAGGCACAUCAGUCCUCUUUUCAGAAGCAAGGCCUUGUAUUUGUUUUGUGUCUUAUUUUAUGGACUGGGUCUUCAAAGACAACAUUUAAUAAUAAAGAUUACAGAGGUGACCUACCUGUGUUCCUGAUGGAGGCCUCCUUUGGCUUCUUAUAUCUGUUGUUGGUUGUUUGUGGCAAAGAGGCAAUCAUGUUGGGACAGUUUUCUUCUUUUUCUAGUUAACUAAGAGUAUUUAGCAAGGUUGAGUGUUGAGAUAAUAAAAUGUCUUUUCAAGUGA